UUGGGAAGGAUGUAGCGGUGUUUUAAAUUUAAGCAUGUAUGUCACUUCUUUCCCUUCUUCCUGUUCUCUGGAAAGGACCUAGUGGCGUUUCAAAAGUCAAAAAUGACAACAUUCUUUACAUCUAAUCGUGAGUCGCAUGCGUUUUUGUUUCCCCGGUCACUCAAUCAUGUCGAAGGAUGAAAGGUCCGAAACGACACGGGUGAUUGGUUGUAUAUGAAGAAUUUUUGACGAGCAUAGUGACUGCGGCUCUUUAUUAUACCCGUGAGUAGUAACAUUUUUGUCUGUAUUUUAUUUAUUAGUUUAGGAUAGGUUUUCUUGCACACCGCGUUUUUAAAUGUUAAUGAUAAUAUAUAUAAUAUAUAUAUGUCGGACAGCGGGAUUUCCCGUCUUGAAUGCUGGGAAAAACCCCAAUACCAUAGUCAAGACUUUUAUGAUAGCUGCGUUUAAGCAAUAAAAAAUAAGAAAUAAUUUUUAAUGUUCCAACUUGGCUUUAUGUCAAUGGGUUCAGGUUCAAGGAGACAUAGCGGGUCACUAGACGUAGCCACGGUCACGGGAGGGACGUAUACCUGACAGAGGUAUGGAAUGAUUAUAUGACUCUCCUUAAGAACAAGGAUUGACCCGAGAAGUGGGGACAGGAAUAUAUAAGAGCAGUUUCAUUGGGAUGAGUUUGUUAGUUAGUCGUUGGACGAAUUGCUGAUUGAGUUAUCCGAAUCGUGUAUUACGUUGGUACUCGUCAUCCCGUAGACCGUGGAUUCGUUAUCGAACCUGAAUUCGUUGCUACCAUCACCUCG